UCCUACGGGAGGCAGCAUGGGGGAAUAUUGCACAAUGGCGCAAGCCUGAUGCAGCCAUGCCGCGUGUGUGAAGAAGGCCUUCGGGUUGUAAAGCACUUUCAGUUGUGAGGAAGGUGGUGUCGUUAAUAGCGGCAUCAUUUGACGUUAGCAACAGAAGAAGCACCGGCUAACUCCGUGCCAGCAGCCGCGGUAAUACGGGAGGGUGCGAGCGUUAAUCGGAAUUACUGGGCGUAAAGCGCAUGCAGGUUGGUUUGUUAAAGUCAGAUGUGAAAAGCCCCGGGCUCAAACCUCGGAACUGCAUUUGAAAACUGGCAAAACUAGAGUACUGUAGAGGGGGUAGAAUUUCAGGUGUAGCGGUGAAAAUGCGUAGAGAUCUGAAGGAAUACCGGUGGCGAAGGCGGCCCCCUGGACAGAUACUGACACUCAGAUGCGAAAGCGUGGGGAGCAAACAGGAUUAGAUACCCUGGUAG
rnacentral:rRNA from 1 species